UCCUUGUGGCGUGGUUGGACGCCGGUUUUCGGCCAGGAAACCGGCGUCGCUGUUCUGUGUUCCCAAUCGCUGUAAAAAGUGGAAAAUUCUGCACAAUUCCAUGCACUAGAACAACAUUCUACACUCUUGUCGUGUUUCCCGUUGGAAUGGUGAGCCAGGAAAGUGCAACCGGAACUUGCGGAUCCGCACCCAACCGCAACACGCAAAGUUCCACGAAAAAGGAGAUAAACGUUUGAUUUCUCCUUCCACCGGGCUCCUUCCUGUAAUUAAGAUUACGGUUAGCCAUUGGAACUACCAACGAAACCGGAACCAACCAACAAAUCCGGAACAUGCGCUUCCGUGCAGUCAUACAAAUGGCCCUGUUGUGGCUAACCGUCUGUACGCCAAAUUACUGAGAUCCCAAGGGCUCCCAAGUAGCGAAGGCGUACGGAUUCGACCACGAGAAAAACUCCCAACAACAUUAUGGAAAUGGUGAUGGUGCAUCCUGUGAUGAUCCUGUGAAUUCUCACGCAAAGAGACCCUUGUCGGCACGUAGUGUCUGCUUGGUUCUCGUUCCAGCUGCAGAGGACUUCCCCAAGUGUGCCCCAAAUGUAACCAGCACGGUACCGAUACGGUGCCGGCGGUUGCGCUUCGCUUAAUUCAUCCGGCAGCUGAUUCACCGCUUUACAGCGUGUUCCUAAGUUCUGUGAACCGUUUUUUCGUCGAGUCAGUGAACUAGAUUGCAAAACUGUUGCAGAACAACUAACAAUCCAGAGAGAUGCACUCGAUGCGCUGGUUGCUAGGACCGUGGAUAGCCAAUCGAUCUGGGGCAGGCAAACGCAAUGCACUCCAGCAGUACUAGUACAACGACUUUCCGAUGAUUUCCGGUUCCGGAGACUGUGGCAUGUAAAGGCCACGAAGAAGAAUCAAAAGUACCCUCAACUUAUCUGUGAUUGCGGGGCGGCCAUGUCAUCAAGCACAAACAGCGAACCGACGGCCUGUUGCCAUGCCAACUAAUCUAAAGUUGAUGGCAAACUUGAUACCAUCGGGUAAAAGUGAUAGACAUCGUUUUGGCAUACUCCCACAAGCUUACAAAAUACUUGGUUUACGCUAUAGAAUCGGGCCGCCGAUUGCUUUAAUCCUUCUGACGUAUACAAAUAGAAAUUCGGCAUUGUUAGCCGAUUUCCUGGGUAGACGGACUCCAUUGCAAGUACUGUCCUUGCUGUUUUGGCAGAAGUAACCUCUCGACCACAUAUACGACGUCGGUUUCCGUCAAUGUAACUAAUACAUAUAACUUUGAAGCUCACUGACAGGAACCACCUAUCGUUUCGAUCACCUGAAAGCAGAUAGGUUGGCAUAGUCAGUGUAGUUGAGCCAUUCGCUCUCGAAAACAUGGGGUACUCGGUAUUGAUCUCUUUGCCCCAUGGUUUGGCUUCUAAUGCUUCGGCUACAGUACGAACAGGAUUACCUGGGGAUGCCAACGCUACAUCCUUUAGGAAUGUAAACGACGAAUCCUCGAAACGCCUAGUCGAGGUCUUCUCGAGGUUACCGUUUCUUAGCACACUAUCGGCCAUAUAUAAAAGCAAAUGGCGCGACAAUGCCAAAUUAUCUCCGAUGCAUACAAACCAAGCCACAAACCCUUUUAUCAUUUGCCUGGCCUGAUCGAUAUAGUUACGGUAUAGGUCGCAACUCAAUAUCCUAAUCGACAGGAACAGUAGUAAAAAAUUGCUAUUUGUUCAACUAUUCCCUGUUACUGACCAUAUAUGGAUAUAAUUGAAAAUUAUCUUCAUGUGCUCUCUUCUUAAUUCCGCACUUCGUACCUCAAUUAAAUGAUGCGUGUUGAGAUCUAUUGGCAUUUGCGAAACAAAGUUCUUAAUCUUACAAAAGUAUUGUUCACGGCUAUCAGCCUUGUACUGUUCAUAUAUGCUUUUAAAAAUAUUGGCGUAAAUUAGAUGCAGUACAUCGGUACUGACAUCCUAGCAUAACUAAGUAUCCUGAUUGAAAGGAAAAGUAAUACAAAAUGAUCGUUUAUCAAACUACCCUCUGUUAUAGACCAUACAUGAAUGUAAUGAAAGAUGAUCUCCAUGUUCGUGGAAAUUAAAAAAAGAGAACUAUUGGUGAUAUCGAUUUUACCGACUCAAUAAUGAGGAAACGUACCUGUUACAACCGCUGGAGCCUCUAUGUCUAACGGGCAAUGUUCUACGCGGACCCGAAACAGUCGAUCUCCUACGACCAAUCCUGUCUGUUCCAGGUUGUAAGCGUUUAAGGCAAAAGUUUCGAAGAAUAAAGGAGGUGGCUAGCUAAACAUAGCCACCGUUUGCACCCCGUGA